rnacentral:rRNA from 1 species
AUUGAACGCUGGCGGCAGGCCUAACACAUGCAAGUCGAAUGGUAACAGGAAACAGCUUGCUGUUUCGCUGACGAGUGGCGGACGGGUGAGUAAUGUCUGGGAAACUGCCUGAUGGAGGGGGAUAACUACUGGAAACGGUAGCUAAUACCGCAUAACGUCGCAAGACCAAAGAGGGGGACCUUCGGGCCUCUUGCCAUCAGAUGUGCCCAGAUGGGAUUAGCUAGUAGGUGGGGUAACGGCUCACCUAGGCGACGAUCCCUAGCUGGUCUGAGAGGAUGACCAGCCACACUGGAACUGAGACACGGUCCAGACUCCUACGGGAGGCAGCAGUGGGGAAUAUUGCACAAUGGGCGCAAGCCUGAUGCAGCCAUGCCGCGUGUAUGAAGAAGGCCUUCGGGUUGUAAAGUACUUUCAGCGGGGAGGAAGGGAGUAAAGUUAAUACCUUUGCUCAUUGACGCUACCCGCAGAAGAAGCACCGGCGAACUCCGU